rnacentral:tRNA from 1 species
ACUAUUUUGGCAGAAAAGUGCUAUGAAUUUAGAAUUCAUUAAUGUAAGGUUAAUUCUUACAAAUAGUA